rnacentral:rRNA from 1 species
GACGUAGGGUGCAGGCGUUAAUCGGAAUUACUGGGCGUAAAGCGUGCGCAGGCGGUUUGCUAAGACAGGUGUGAAAUCCCCGGGCUUAACCUGGGAACUGCGCUUGUAACUGGCAGGCUUGAGUGCGGCAGAGGGGGGUGGAAUUCCACGUGUAGCAGUGAAAUGCGUAGAGAUGUGGAGGAACACCGAUGGCGAAGGCAGCCCCCUGGGUCGACACUGACGCUCAUGCACGAAAGCGUGGGGAGCAAACAGG